rnacentral:rRNA from 1 species
AGCGAACGCUGGCGGCAGGCCUAACACAUGCAAGUCGAACGAACCUUUCGGGGUUAGUGGCGGACGGGUGAGUAACACGUGGGAACGUGCCUUUAGGUUCGGAAUAACUCAGGGAAACUUGUGCUAAUACCGAAUGUGCCCUUCGGGGGAAAGAUCUAUCGCCUUUAGAGCGGCCCGCGUCUGAUUAGCUAGUUGGUUGAGGUAAUGGCUCACCAAGGCGACGAUCAGUAGCUGGUCUGAGAGGAUGAUCAGCCACAUUGGGUCUGAGACACGGCCCAAACUCCUACGGGAGGCAGCAGUGGGGAAUCUUGCGCAAUGGGCGAAAGCCUGACGCAGCCAUGCCGCGUGAAUGAUGAAGGUCUUAGGAUUGUAAAAUUCUUUCACCGGGGACGAUAAUGACGGUACCCGGAGAAGAAGCCCCGGCUAACUUCGUG